AUAAAUGGAACAGUGAUGGAGCCCUUGAGGAGGGAUGCUAAAUAUAUCAACUUAAAAUUUUAAAAUGAUAAAAAAAUAUUAAAUAUAAAAAUAUUUAAAUAUUGUUCUUUACUUGCUUAAGUUUUUAGAGAAUAACGACUGUUUCGUAUAAUUUAACAAAAUAUAGAUAUUUGAAAGUUAGAAAGACAAAUAAAAAAAUGUUAAUGACGAAAAAUUUUCUAUAUUUUAAACUAAAAAAUAUAACAGUGUAAACUAUUAAUAGAGCAAAUUUAUAAACUAGAAAAUGUUAAAUAAUCUUUUUUUUUCUUUUUCUUUUUUGAGAGGUAAGAACCAAAAUGGAGCUGUUAACCAAAUGGUAUUCAUAACCUUUCACAUUUCCCUCUUUUUUUUUUUUUUUUUUUUUUGGUAAACUUCAAAUACCACUAUGGUGGUCUCGCACUUUCUCACUUUAGUAUCUUUUAGUUUAAAGUAUAUUAAUUCAGUACCCUGUGGUAUCAUUUUUUUUUUUUUUGUCAGCUCCUCCGUUAACAUUUCGUUAAAUUAUAUACAAAAAAUUUCAGAUAGCCUACCUAGAUUUAUUAAAUAUUCACUUUUAGUACCUUUUAGUUUUACUUUUGU
rnacentral:lncRNA from 1 species